GAUGAACGCUGGCGGCGUGCCUAAUACAUGCAAGUCGAGCGAACGGACGCUAUGCUUGCUUCUCUGAUGUUAGCCGCGGAAGGAUGAGUAACACGUCGAUCACCUACCUAUAAGACUGGGAUAACUUCGUGAAACCGAUGCUAAUACCGGACAAUAUUUUCAACCGCAUGGUUCAAAAGUUAAAGACGGUCUUGCUGUCCCCUAUAGCUGGAUCCGCGCUGCAUUAGCUAGUUGGUAAGGUAACGGCUUACCGAGGCAACGAUGCAUAGCCGACCUGAGAAGGUGAUCGGCCACACUGGAGCUGAGACACGGUCCAGAGUCCGAGGGGAGGCAGCAGUAGGGAAUCUUCCGAAAUGGGCGAAAGACUGACGGAGGGACGCCGCGUGAGUGAUGAAGGUCUGCGGAUCGUAAAACUCUCUUAGGGGGGAAGAACAUAUGUGGAAGUAACUGUGCACAUCGUGACGGUACCUAAACAGAAAGCCACGGCUAACUACGUG
rnacentral:rRNA from 1 species